UAAGAUCACCGAAGUCAAGCAACGUCACGCGUGGUCAGUAUUUAGAUGGGUGACCGCUUGGGAAUAUCAGGUGCUGAA